rnacentral:rRNA from 1 species
ACGGGAGGCAGCAGUGAGGAAUAUUGGACAAUGGGGGCAACCCUGAUCCAGCCAAACCGCGUGAGGGAUGAAGGUCCUACGGAUCGUAAACCUCUUUUAUGUGGGAAUAAUUGUUGGGACGUGUCCCAACUUGAAGGUACCACUUGAAUAAGCAUCGGCUAACUCCGUGCCAGCAGCCGCGGUAAUACGGAGGAUGCAGGCGUUAUCCGGAUUUAUUGGGUUUAAAGGGUGCGCAGGCGGCUUUUUAAGUCAGUGGUUAAAUCGUGACGCUCAACGUCAUCACGCCAUUGAUACUGGAGAGCUUGAUUGCGGUCGAGGUUUGCGGAAUUCGUUGUGUAGCGGUGAAAUGCAUAGAUAUGACGAAGAACACCGAUUGCGUAGGCAGCAGACCAGGCCGUAAAUGACGCUCAUGCACGAAAGUGCGGGGAUCGAACAGGAUUAGAUACCCUGGUA